GCUCCGGUGGUGUAGCCCGGUCAAGCAUAGGAGGCUCUCACCCUCCCGACGCGGGUUCGAAUCCCGCCCGGAGCA
rfam:Candidatus Bathyarchaeota archaeon B24 scaffold148, whole genome shotgun sequence.